UCCUUUUUAAUAAAAUUUUUUUUUUUCAACAAGAGAAAAGAAGUCUUUUUUUUGCGCCGCCCUUUUUGGGAGAGGGCCCCCCCCCCUCUUUAAUUUAUUUUUUUUUUGUGUUAGGGGUAAAAUGGGCCUUCCCCCAAAGACAAAUGGUCCCAAAUUAGGUUGAUUUUUGGGAGGGAUGUUUCAGCCCCCCAUUGGGGGCUGGAGACCCGGGGCCCCAAAUUUCCUUCGGGGAGGGCAGCAAGUUGGGGGAUUUUUGCCCAAAGGGAGGGAAAUUUUGGAUGCAAGCGAUUCCGGCUGGAGGGAAGGAAGGCCUUUUGGGUUUGCAAAACUUCUUUCUUCGGGGGAAGAAAAUGCCUGUUCCCGGAAUAAGAAAGGUUCGGGCUAAAUUUCGUGCCAGGCAGCCGCGGGUAAUACGAAGGGGACCUAGCGUAGUUUGGAAUUACUGGGCUUAAAGAGUUCGUAGGUGGUUAAAAAAGUUGAUGGUGAAAUCCCAGAGCUUAACUCUGGAACUGCCAUCAAAACUUUUUAGCUAGAGUAUGAUAGAGGAAAGCAGAAUUUCUAGUGUAGAGGUGAAAUUCGUAGAUAUUAGAAAGAAUACCAAUUGCGAAGGCAGCUUUCUGGAUCAUUACUGACACUGAGGAACGAAAGCAUGGGUAGCGAAGAGGAUUAGAUACCCUCGUAGUCCAUGCCGUAAACGAUGUGUGUUAGACGUUGGGAAUUUAUUUUCAGUGUCGCAGUGAAAACAAUAAACACACCGCCUGGGGAGUACGACCGCAAGGUUAAAACUCAAAUGAAUUGACGGGGACCCGCACAAGUAGUGGAGCAUGUGGUUUAAUUCGAAGAUACGCGCAGAACCUUACCAACACUUGACAUGUUCGUCGCGACUCUAAGAGAUUAGAGUUUUCGGUUCGGCCGGACGAAACACAGGUGCUGCAUGGCUGUCGUCAGCUCGUGUCGUGAGAUGUUGGGUUAAGUCCCGCAACGAGCGCAACCCUUACUUUUAGUUGCCAUCAUUUAGUUGGGCACUCUGAAAGAACUCCCAGUGAUAAGCUGGAGGAAGGUGGGGAUGACGUCAAGUCCUCAUGGCCCUUACGUGUUGGGCUACACACGUGCUACAAUGGCAUUUACAAUAGGAAGCAAGAUGGCGACAUCAAGCAAAUCCUAAAAAAAUGCCUCAGUUCCGAUAAAGUCUGCAACUCGAGUGCAUGAAGCUGGAAUUACUAGUAAUCGUGGAUCAGCGGGCCCACUGUUUUGGCGGGUUGCG
rnacentral:rRNA from 1 species